UCGAAAAUUAAUGAAAAGAAAAGAUGUUUGUACCUGUAAUAUUUAUUUAUUUUUGUCGGCACUCGAUAAAUAGCGUUUAAAAUAUAUAGUUUACAAAUUUGAACUUAGGGGUUUUUCAUUUUAAAUUUCGUCGUAUGCUCGUAUACAGAGUGUGAUUGAUUUAUCACGAACUGGCAAUUUUAAGUGACCGCGGAAUUUUUAACUGUAUAUGGAAUUAUUUUAGAUUAAUUUUAUUCGCACACUAUUUUCGAUUUUUCAGCCUACUCCUUAUACCUUAAAUUAGUAUACACUUUUAGUUUUCAAGUAUGAACUACCCUACCCUCUUUUAAACACAGUUUCGAAAACAAAAUAUUUGUAUAACACUAAUGUCGGGUUUACAGUUUAUGAGUUAAUACAACAGUUCAAAGUUUAGACCGGAGGAGAAAGGAAUUUGUUUUCAAUACAUCGUCUGAAUAUUGAUGUGAAGUUUAUUAGCUCUACCUUA